AGGGAAGGCCCUUGGCACGCCGUGUGUUCUGUGGUGUGCUGGCUGAACCUGGUCAUUGCCAGGAACUUUAUGGUUAGCUAGAACCUGGUGCCAGAGGAGAAAGCCACUCACGGGAGCCAAGGGUAGUUUCUUUCUACCUAUCCACCCAUGAUUGUUUUCUAAGAAAGAAAGGAGAAAUCAAAGAAAUCACAGAAUUUGAACGCUGUAUAAAACCUAAUGUUUGUGGAGCAAUUGAAGAAAAAUAAACAGUGUGGUGAAGUAAACAGUUAACAAAAGGCUAGCAUAUGUUUACCUAGAAGAUGUGAAGAAUUGUUUCCAGAUUAAAUGGUUUGGAAUGAGAACCUCCACACCUUGAAUAUAAACUAAGAUUUGCCAACUGUGAGAAACAUUUAAAAUGCUAAUUACUUUAAAGGAUGAGAAACCUGGAAACAUGUUUUAGGGAAGAAAAGAACUGGAAGGACAAUGGGCACAUAUAAGCCAUGGUAUUGCACAGGUUCAGCAGAACAAUGGGCAAAAAAAAAAAUCAAAAAGAUUGGUCUACACGGAGACUUCCAGCAGCCCCCUCUCUGAGGCCGAGGAGUCUUGUUCAAAUACUGUCUGACUGAGAGAUAAUUAUGGGGGAAAUGCCAAUUCCACAUUUCAUAUCUCUGCACUUUAGUACUGUCAGAGCCCCACGGAGACGGGAUACGAAAGGAACAGUCUGACAGGCGAGGGAGGGGAGCCGUGCAGUCCUGGAACUGCGCCAGGCAAUGUGGAAGUCAUUGAGAUUUACCAGCAUCAUUUCCAUAAUCGUUUUUGGAUGCACAACAGCUGAAGAUUGUGCCUGGAUUCCCCUUUGCAAGCAUUCUGGAGUCACAACAUCGGCAUAGAAGGUGGCCAGCCUUCGGCUUUUGCAGUCGUUUGUGGAGUCUUUAUGGAAGAGCAGCGUGGUCAAGAGACCACGGCUGCGUAACCCCGUCUGCAGUAUGUGAGGCCGGAGUGCUGACCCUGGACCUGCCCAGUCAUGCCUUCUCGGUCAGCUGUUCAUCUCAUCUGCUACCACGGAACUUCUUCUGAAGCACCACUUGGGAAAUGCAGUCUCCUCCAAGGACAGCACUCACGCUGGUGUCAGCCACAUACUCCAGCUGUACCCGGGUUGAGGACCAGUGCAGACCCUCUCCCCUGCAUGCCACAUUCAGAAAGCAGAGGAGGCCUUGUGUAAGGUAUGACUACAAAAUAACACAACUCUCAGAAUCACUACAGAUACAGCAGCAUCCAAAGUCCUCAUCCCCCACGUUUUAAAUUCUCAAAAUAACCACUUAAAAUUUUGAAAUUGGCUGGGCAUGGUGGCUUAUGCCUGUAAUCCCAGCACUUUGGGAGGCCAAGGCAGGUAGAUCAUGAGAUCAAGAGAUCGAGACCAUCCUGGCCAACAUGGUGAAACCCUGUCUCUACUAAAAAUACAAAAAUUAGCUGGAUGUGGUGGCGUGCCCCUGUAGUCCCAGUUACUCGGAGGCUGAGGCAGAAUAGCUUGAACCCAGGAGGCAGAGGUUGCAGUGAGCCAACGUCGCACUACUGCACUCCAGUCUGGUGACAGAGCGAGAUUCCACCUCAAAAAAAAAAAUGCAAUGAACACAUGUCAUCCUGCCCAAGCCAAAAGAAAGAUGGGAGCUAUUUUCUCAGCUGGUAGCAUAAUUGUAUUAUUCGCAGAGGCACACUGAAGACUCAGUGUCAGCUCGGUGCAGUUAGAAAGAACGCUGACGGUGGCAAAGCUAAAUGGUCUUUGUCAGGCAUUCUCCAGCAUUCAAACGGGUAAUAUUCCAUAGCGUCUUUCACUAAGUCAGUUCAUGCAGGGAGGCAGAAGCAGGAGGCAGCGCUCUCAAAGUCACAGGCUCCAAGUGAGCCAUGCUGAAGUUUAGUUUCAUGGUCGAGGUUGCCAACUAGUAACUUUUAUUCAUACAAUUUUCAAGUUAAAAUCUUUAUUUCCAGCUAGGCGCGGUGGCUCAUGCCUGUAAUCCCAGCACUUUGGGAGGCCGAGGCAGGCAGAUCACGAGGUCAGGAGAUCAAGACCAUCCUGGCUAACGCGGUGAAUCCCCAUCUCUACUAAAAAUACAAAAACAAAAAAUUAGCCAGGUGUGGUGGCAGGCACCUGUAGUCCCAGCUACUCGGGAGGCUGAGGCAGGAGAAUGGUGUGAACCCGGGAGGCGGAGGUUGCAGUGAGCCGAGAUUGUGCCACUGCACUCCAGCUUGGGCCACAGAGCAAGGCUCCAUCUCAAAAAAAAAAAAAAAAUCCUCACUUCCACACUUUCCCACGGUGCCCUGGGAUCUUGGC
rnacentral:lncRNA from 1 species